rnacentral:tRNA from 1 species
GAGGGUGUAGCCCAGUGGUAGAGUGUGUGCUUAGCAUGCAGGAGGUCCUGGGUUCCAUCCCCAGUACCUCCA